CCGACGGUGAGAGGUGAAAGCUGGGGGAGCAAACCGGAUUAGAUACCCGGGUAGUCCCAGCUGUAAACGAUGCGCGUUAGGUGUGUCAGUGACCACGUGUCACUGAUGUGCCGAAGGGAAACCGUGAAACGUACCGCCUGGGAAGUACGGUCGCAAGGCUGAAACUUAAAGGAAUUGGCGGGGGAGCACCACAACAGGUGGAGCCUGCGGUUUAAUCGGACUCAACGCCGGAAAUCUCACCGGAUAA
rnacentral:rRNA from 1 species